AUAUUCCGACAGGGGAGCGCCACAGCGCUGAGAGUGCGGUAUCCGUCAUCCGCAGACCCUCUGAACCUCGCCCCGGUCAUUCGGGGUAGGAAGUUCGGUCACCACUCAUG
rnacentral:ncRNA from 1 species